rnacentral:rRNA from 1 species
UACGGGGGGGGCAAGCGUUGUUCGGAAUUAUUGGGCGUAAAGGGCUCGCAGGCGGUCUGUCGCGUCGAAAGUGAAAACCCAGGGCUUAACCCUGGGCCUGCUUCCGAUACGGGCAGACUAGAGGUAUGCAGGGGAGAACGGAAUUCCUGGUGUAGCGGUGAAAUGCGCAGAUAUCAGGAGGAACACCAAUGGCGAAGGCAGCUCGCUGGGACGGUAUUGACGCUGAGACGCGAAAGCGUGGGGAGCAAACAGG